CAUCACCAGACCAGAUGGUCAAGUGGAAUGUUCCUAAGCUAAGAUCAAGUAUAUAGGAGUUGUUUACACGAAAGCAGAGCACAAAGACUGGGCCUUCCAUAACUGCACGUGCCCAAUACCUGCCCCUAUUGAGAUGCUGGACAAGGUUUUGUUUCGGGAUCCUGAAGGACGUUUUGAAGGCCUCUGAAGAYGAUGUAGGGRACUUGAUACUAACAGUGGAUCUGARGAUGCAAAUAUGUCUGGAGAUCAGACUUCAUUGCACAAGACACCCAGCAAAUAAAGGACCAAGAACUCCCUGCCAUGGGCCUGGAAACGCAGUCCUCCCGCUUCGCAGUUGGCCUUGCCUCCUUAAAGUCUGAUUUUCGGUCAGCCAGUAGAACUGUGGAGGAUGUCGGUUCAUACUGGAUUCUACAUCGUCAGAGUCCUGCUCUGAAUAUGCUCAAAAUCUCAGCUAUAAGAGAGCAUCUCAGAAUUGCRGUGCUGCAAAUGACUUCUGUUUUAGAUCUUCUCACACACCCCCUCGUCUUCCU